GUGGGGAAAUGCAUGGAAGGAAAAAAGUGAAAGACCUCCCUCCUAUUCCGAGGGACACGACAAUGCUGAAAAGGGACACGCCAAUAACCUACUGUCGUCAGCCAUAUCCUGCACGUACCUGAGAAAAGCUUAUUUGGAAAUACCAGCUACUUACAGUAUAGUAUUGCUAAUGCAGGAUGAGCAGUAGGUUCCUGGUGCCUCCAAUUGUGUCUCUUGAUGGGGUGGCACUGCCCUUGAAGGACCAGAUUCUUGUAGAGAAUUGGGGAACUGAUCCUGAAGAUGUAAUACUGUCUGGGGCUGUCAAGAAGAGUCAUUCCCAUCCCAGGUGGUUGGAUGCCAGCAUUACCAUCCAAAUUCAAUUACUCAUCCUGGUUUCAGG